GAAAAACAUGACAUAACAGAGAUAAGUGUGUUUUUAAAAAUUAUUUUUGUAAUUUUUGUAAUGAAAAAGGCCACUUAGCCAAUAUUUGCCAGAAAAAACUUAAGAGGUGUAAUUAUUUUUUAAAUAAUAAUAAUUCUGAUUUAUCAUCUGAUGAAAAUAGUACUCUGCGACUGGAUAAGCAAGAGGGAGCCAAGCCCAAGUUUUGCAAAGCCUGUUCCAUUCCUUUUGCCUUAUGCCGAGGAGUUGAGGCGGAACUAGACCGACUUGUCACUGAAAACAUCUUGAGCCCAGUAUCAUACAGCAGUUGGGCAACACCCAUUGUACCAGUAGCUAAGAAAAAUGGAACCAUCAGAAUUUGUGGUAAAAACAACAUAGAAUUUAAAGAAAUUGCACCUUUUCAUCCAUCAUCUAAUGGUCAAGCUGAAAAUGCGGUUAAAACAGUUAAACAAGCAAUACUUAAGAUUUUAAAAAGGAGUUCAUUGUCAGAACUUAACCGUAAUUUAAACAAUUUUCUUUUAUCUUAUCGAAUUACACCACACUGUUCUACAGGAAAAUAUCCAGCCAAUUUAAUGUUUCAAAUAAACAUAAGAAGUGUUUAUGAUUUUUGGAAUAACAAUGUAAAUAUUGUAAAUCAUACAGCUAUUGAUGUAACAGACUUUAGUAUUAGUAAACAAAAUGUAAUAGGAGAUCAUGUAGCAGUAAGGGAUUAUAGAGUUGUUAAUUAACCUUCUUGGUUAAAGGGAAUAAUUCAUAAGAAGAUAGGUUCAAAAACUUAUUUUGUAUUUAUACCUAGUCUAGAUAAAACAUGGAGGAGGCACAUAAAUCAAAUAGUAGAUUUUGAAUUUUCAGUUGACGUACAUUCUUCUGACCAUAACAUGUGUAAUAAACCUACCAAAAAUAUCAGUCCAAUUAAUGAAAACAAAAAUUGUCAUGAAUCUGAUGAAGAUAAUUAUUGUAAAUCUGCUGAACCUGUUACAUCUAAUUUAAUACCUGAUGUCUGUACCCCAAGAAGAAGUAAAAGGAAACUUAAAUCAAUGAAAUACUUUUAAGUAAUUAAUUUAUUUUAUUUUUAGUUUUUGUUUUUUUUUAGGG